rnacentral:rRNA from 1 species
UACAGAGGGGGCAAGCGUUGUUCGGAAUUACUGGGCGUAAAGGGCGCGUAGGCGGCCUGCUAAGUCGAACGUGAAAUCCCUGGGCUCAACCCAGGAACUGCGUCCGAUACUGGUUGGCUUGAAUCCGGGAGAGGGACGUGGAAUUCCAGGUGUAGCGGUGAAAUUCGUAGAUAUUGGCUGGAACACCGGUGGCGAAAGCGGCUCUCUGGCCCGGUUCUGACGCUGAGGCGCGAAAGCGUGGGGAGCAAACAGG